AUUCUGGUUCCGGGCUUUGCUUACGGCAAGUACUUUAAACUAAAGGAGCGAGUUUUAGACGGGUUUUCGGAUGAACACCUCAAUGUCGGAAUCAGCAAUGCAUAACGAUGCGGACUAGGGCUCCGGAUGUUCAAGCCAUGUGAAGCAGGCAUCUGAGCGAGGCCGAGUAGGAUGGGCGAUUACUGUGAACCGUGUCAACACUGCAACCGCGACUAAUCGUCCGCCCGCGCUGUCGGGUCAAUGACAAGCGUGGCUCUCACUGUCACGAAAAAGCUACAUAAAUGACAUGUCAAUUGGUUACGAUGAUAAUAAAUGUUUCGUUUUGGAUAUUUUA